rnacentral:rRNA from 1 species
GACGAACGCUGGCGGCGUGCUUAACACAUGCAAGUCGAACGGAAAGGCCUUUUCGGAGGUACUCGAGUGGCGAACGGGUGAGUACACGUGGGUGAUCUGCCCUGCACUCUGGGAUAAGCCUGGGAAACUGGGUCUAAUACCGGAUAGGACCGCACUUUAGUGUGUGUGGUGGAAAGUUUUUUCGGUGUAGGAUGAGCCCGCGGCCUAUCAGCUUGUUGGUGGGGUAAUGGCCUAACAAGGCGGCGACGGGUAGCCGGACUGAGAGGUUGGUCGGCCACAUUGGGACUGAGAUACGGCCCAGACUCCUACGGGAGGCAGCAGUGGGGAAUAUUGCACAAUGGGCGCAAGCCUGAUGCAGCGACGCCGCGUGGGGGAUGACGGCCUUCGGGUUGUAAACUCCUUUCGCCAGGGACGAAGCGUUUUGUGACGGUACCUGGAGAAGAAGCACCGGCUAACUACGUG